rnacentral:rRNA from 1 species
CCUACGGGAGGCUGCAGUGAGGAAUAUUGGUCAAUGGGCGGGAGCCUGAACCAGCCAAGUCGCGUGAGGGAAGACGGUCCUAUGGAUUGUAAACCUCUUUAGGCGGGGAGCAAUGCCGGGCACGCGUGCCCGGAGUGAGAGUACCCGCAGAAUAAGCAUCGGCUAACUCCGUUCCAGCAGCAGCGGUAAUACGGAGGAUGCGAGCGUUAUCCGGAUUUAUUGGGUUGAAAGGGUGCGUAGGCGGAUUUUUAAGUCAGCGGUAAAAUGUCCGGGCUCAACCCGGGCCGGCCGUUGAAACUGGGGAUCUUGAGUGGGCGAGAAGUAUGCGGAAUGCGUGGUGUAGCGGUGAAAUGCAUAGAUAUCACGCAGAACUCCGAUUGCGAAGGCAGCAUACCGGCGCCCGACUGACGCUGAGGCACGAAAGCGUGGGGAUCGAACAGGAUUAGAUACCCGGGUAGUC